rnacentral:rRNA from 1 species
CCCAUCCCGAACAGAGAAGUUAAGCCCGUUAGCGCCGAUGGUACUGCUAUACCAAGUGGGAGAGUAGGUAGCCGCCAACC